rnacentral:misc_RNA from 1 species
AAUGGCUGCAGUAAUUUGACUGUACAAAGGUAGCAUAAUCAUUAGUUUUUUAAUUAAAAGCUAGAAUGAAAGGUCGGACGAAAUAAAAUCUGUCUCUUUUUAAUAUAUUAGAAUUUAAUUUUUAAGUUAAAAAGCUUAAAUUUUUAUAAAAGACGAGAAGACCCUAUAGAGUUUAAUAAUUUUAUUUUAAUAAUUAAUUUAGUUUUAUUGGGUUUAUUUUUACAAAAUUAUUUUAUUGGGGUAAUAUAAAGAUUUGGUUAAUUCUUUAUUUUAAAAUUCAUUAAUUUAUGAAAAAUUUAUGAUCCAUAUUAUUUUGAUUAUAAGUUUAAAUUACCUUAGGGAUAACAGCGUAAUUUUUUUUAAGAGUUCAUAUCGAUAAAAAAGUUUGCGACCUCGAUGUUGGAUUAAAGAUUAAUUUAGGGGUAGAAGUUUAAAUUUUUGGUCUGUUCGACCAUUGAAUCUUUACAUGAUCUGAGUUCAAACCGGUGUAAGCCAGGUUGGUUUCUAUCUUUAUAAGAUUUUUAUAUUUUAGUACGAAAGGACCAGAUAUAUUAUAUAUUAAUAUUUAAAUUAGAUGAAUUUUAUUAAUAGAAGUUAUUUUAGGAAUUAAUUCAAUGGAUUUUUAAUUCAGUAUUAUAAUUAUGCUUAUAUAUAAUAU